CCUUGCACUCACCGCCCGUCACAUCACCCGAGUCUGGUGCUCCCGAAGUCGCUGGCCGAACCCGCAAGGACGGAGGCGCCGAAGGAGUGCCCGGUAAGGGGGGUG
rnacentral:rRNA from 1 species